GUUUUUGAGCGCACACUACGAUCUUUGAGUUGGCUCGGCAAACGUUUGGACCACUCUACGAUUUUCGGAGAGGCCCUUCAAGGCAGACAGACUACGAUCCUCGAUACUCUACGAUUCUGCCUUGGUUUCUACAAACUCUCAAUCAGCUCAACAUACUACGAUUUUGUUGAAGCCUAUCUAGUACAUCUCAAGACAUAGAUCAACCUAACAUCUUUGAUCUCC
rnacentral:lncRNA from 1 species